rnacentral:lncRNA from 10 species
UCUCAGCCAUACCUGGAAGUGGCCAUUCAUUUUUACAUUCUAAGGCCAUGUUCUUAGUAUUGAACUUGACCACACAGCUCAUAAUGCUUUAGAAGCCUCCAGCUAGAACACUGAGGAAUGACCUCAGAAUUCUUCUACUUAGCCUUGUCCCUACCUCUUUACUCCUCUGUAGGCAGUAAUUCUUUUUUCUUUUCUUUCUUUUUUUUUUCUUUUGGUGUAACAGUAUCGCAUGAGCCAAGACUGUCAUGAAACUAUUUGGAUACUGUACUCUGGUUCCUUCAUCUCCUCCAUCUGCAUCAGCCUAAAUUGUCCUAGAGCCUCUGCCAUGAACCCGGGGAUAAGUGAGGAAAGAAAUUUUUCCUCCUUCACAGUAUCAAGUGCCAGGCCAGGGCACUUUGUCCAGGCCUCACUGUGAAGAAAGAGUAAUGUUCAAGGAUGGCAGCAGGAAGGUGAGAGGAUGAAACCAAAUGCUCUUGGAGGGCAUCGGGCUUGGUUGCCACUGAGAACUUCCAGAAGAGGCACAGCUCAACGCGGGGUGCCAGUAACCGUCAUGCCUUCCUGUCCCAGUGGGCUGACUUGAGACAAAGCACAGCUGUGGUCCACGCCUUGAGACUUCCACUGGGCAAGGAAGCCCAAGUGAGGCUCCCCGCACCUCUGCCACCUUCCCCUACACCCACACCUGCAAACCUGGGGAGAGUGACACCAGCCUUCCCCAGCUCCUCUCUCAGUCUAGGCUGGAGCUGACUCGGAGAGAAUUGAAUUCCCUUCUCCAUUGCUCCUGGGGCCGCUAAUUCAUAGCUGCAUUAGCUUUCAUUUGGGUAACAGCAUGGGGGAUUGUCAGAUAUUGGCUCUGACCAGAUUUAAUCUACAGGCUGUGUUCUGCCCUCUUUCCACUUGCCUUUCAUUCAGGACCCUAAUGAAGAGGUUUAUCUGAUUGGUUUACUGGAGUCCUAUGUGGGAUGAAUAGCUUCAGCCUUUGCGCUUGCACCUCUUUGCUGUCCACUCCAAUCAAGAACGGGGGCCCUCGCAACUCUCUCAGUUCUGAAACAAAUUAAAUCUCAGUGACAGACUCUAUCUGCCUCGAGUUCUCCAUUAUGCUUCGCUUUAGGUUUGCUUUGGCAAUGACAAAACUGCUUUGACAUAUUUGCGGAUUCUCAGGCCCGUGUUCUCAGCUCCCCCACCUCCACCUUUCUGCUGUCCAAUGUGAUUUUUGUAAUGGCAAAACCAUUGCGAUCCUUCUCAGGCAUCCCAGUGUCUAUAGCUUUUCAGCUACAUAUCAGCAACAUUCAGCCACAAGUGUGGCUCUGACAGGCUGUGGGGGGCAGAGGUGGGAGAAUGCCAGAGACUGGGGAGUGGUUUCCUAAGCCUCCUUCCUCACCCUCCUUCCAGCAGUUCACUCCUUUAAAGAGAAAUCAUUCUCUCCCGUGUCUCCGCAGGUCACUGGAAGAAUGUGGCCUGGGGCCCUUCAGUACCAUUUAAAUCUAUGCUUGCAAUUUAGCAAAUCUUUAGAUCUGUUCCCCCAGGCUGUGGGGAAACAGAUCUCAGGUUUCCCCUGAUGCCUUCAGGGGAAGCUGCAAAACUACCUUCACCCUAAUCACCUGCCUCAUUAGACUCACAACAGACAGAUGUUCCCUCCUCCUUGAGGGCUUCUAACUUAAGCCUUUCUCACCUAAGUUUCCUUAUAAUGGCGGGAAAAGAGAGGAACAGAAUCCCAGGUAGGCCAUCAAUCAUCCUAACGUUGACAACAAUAAGCAUGUUGACGGUUAUAAAGUCUGCGUUUUCCAAGCUUCUGUUAGUAUGCUAAGAGUUGCCCUGUUGGAAUUAAUAAUUGCAAUGAUAUUGGUGUUGUAGUCAUCACUUGAGGCCUAUUAAGGUCCCUUUUAGUUCUAAAAUACUGUUCAUUCAUUGCCUCAUUCAUGCAUUCACCAAACACUGAGCAUCCACCAUAUAUCAGAGCCUUUGGUCAGAGUUCCCUGGAUGGAAGUCCUGUGGUGACUGCUGCUCCAUCUGAGCCCCUUAAAAUCUCAGAGACUGAGCUGGGUGUUUUAGAAAUUCAGGUAGUCACAAAUCCUGACCAGAAUGGCUGAGAUUUCUGAGCUGGAACCCAGCACCCUAGAACUAAGGCUCAAGCCCCUUGUGAGAACAAGAACCCUAAGCUUAGAUGCCAGAAUUCAAGUUUCAGUUUUUCCCCUUAAAAUGACCCUAAAUCCCUUAAAACUGCAAAAUGAGUGGUCAUGCCCCAGACUGCGGCCUCCAGACUCUGCUACUAGCCAGCCACUCUUGUCAUCUGGAAGGGAAGAUUUGGUUGCUACAACAUGCCACCAUACUGGGAGUUGCAAGACCUGGUUUGGUCCUCAUGCAUUGGAUCACCUUACUCAAACCACCUUGGCCUCAGCUUCUUCAUUAAUAAAAUGCUAUUAGACUUUAUUUACACACAGUUGAAAAAGGACUAAUACAAAUGCCCAUAAAAUCUACAGACUAGACUAGAUGUUAAGUAAGGUGACUUUCCACUCUAAAACUCUAUACAUUAUUUGAUUCAUUUAUUUAACAUAUCUUGAGAACAUGUUUUAUGUCAGUUACUAUGAUAAGAGCUCAUAAAAUAUGUCCCAAUAUCCAUAACAGGAAGGACAUUACUUCAUAAUAAGAUUAAAUGGCUGCAAAAAAUUCAAUGCUUGGAUAUCCUAAUAACAGGUGUAAUAAUAAUCACUACUCUUAUUAAUUUUGUACUUAUCAUAUGUCAGGCAACAGAGUGAAUGUUCUACACAGGUUUUGUUGCAAUUUAUCUUCACGAAACAACCAUAUAAGUAGAUAUCAUUGUACAUUGUUCAACCACUAUUUAUUGUGUAACUAGGGUGUGGUGGGCCUUGAACUAGGCAUUUGGUAUCACCAUACAGAGAUUGAAUGUGCAGGCAUUGAGUGGUUAAAUAACUUCCUAGGCACACUGCUUGCAAAUGGCAGAAAGAACCAGAAAUCUUAUCCGCUAGGCUCUAGAACCCAAGUUCCUAACUGCUAACUUUCAUGCCUACAUCAGCUUGGUUUUCAUGAUCCUCAAAAUGUCAGUCAAAGCCAGUGUUUUCUGAAUCAAUAACUCCCUCCCUCACAGUGUCCUUUUCCAACUUAGCUCCUCUCGUUUAUGAGCCAACCAUCUCCAUGGCAGUCCCCUUCACUAUGAAAUAGUCGUUUGUAUUCUCCAGGCUUCACUAGUUCUCAUUUUCAAUUGCCACCUGAACACUGCUACUGCUAUUUUCUUCUUGUCUUCCACUCUUUGCUCUCUCCUUCACCUCUCCUAUAACUCUGCAAAAGAUCUGUGAAUUGGCUAAGCUGAAGGACUCUACCAUAACCUGAUUCCAGAGAAGCAAACUGUGAACCCUUUUGAAAACAUUUGCUGCACUACUCAGAGCAGACGUAGUGACCAGGAAUUCAAGACCAACUUUCAAUGAAGCUGGAAGUGUGCCUGUCUUGGCGGAUUUAGAAACUGGACAGCCCCUUCCUAUCUUGAAACCACAUUUGAUUUGACAGCGUAGCUAAAAGGAAAAGGACGAAUAGUAACUGAGUUGAGUUUUAUGUGCACACGGAACAUAUAAACACAGCUUCAAGAUAAAGAACUUUGAGUCAGAUUUUCACAUGUCAUGUGUGAGACCAUGCAGCAAACAAUAGAGAGAUGGGAUGGGAUAGCUGUUGCAGACUGAGAUGGGAUUAAAAAGGGAUCCCAUGGCUUUUCACUUAGCUAAAACAAUCUGGAAAUGUUAACGUCAUAAUGCACAGCAUCACCUUAGGGAGUUCUCCAAAACAAUGGCUGGCUGUUCAGACUAAUCAGACAUUGGUAUAAUCUUUGACCUCAGUCUAAAUAGGUAGCUCUCAGAAUCUGUGUGGCUGUUCAUGCUGUCAGGGGCCAUGAUGCUGGAAUGGGAGGUGAACUGGAACUGUGAAGCUACUUGAUAAAACAUGGUGUUGGGCUCCUUAGGCGUUAACUCAGAUAUCCCAAUUGCUGCUUGGCUACCCCAAAACUCCAACGCACCUCAUUAUUUCAUAAGAGAUGUUAAAUACAAAUUGUUCAUUAAAAUACAUAUUAUUGGAUGUUAAACUACCGUGUAAUUGAUUUUCUAUCCAUUGCCUAGUGGUUAACCCUCAAUAAAUGCUUUUUGUAAUCAACUUAAAGUAUAAUACCUACCACGCUUGAUGUCUUUCUCCUUUGAUUUAAUAAGAAACCAAUUCUAUAUUAUUGAAAUUGUACUUGAUAAUGAAAAAGUUGGUCAAAUUUCAAGAAUAGCAUAAAAAAAAAACCUCUUUGGCCUGAACCUGUCCAACUUUAUAGAGGGAUCUCAGUACAACGGAGAACUCAGGGGAACCUAGGUCCUGUUCCAACCAUGGGGUAUUAGCUAAGGUCCAAGAGAGUCAAGUGCUAUGCUCAGAGCUAAGAGAACAGCGGGGUAGACUAGAAAUACUAUGCAGGGACUCUUGUUCAUAGUGCAAU